UAGGUCUUAUCUUUCUUCUGGAUAGGAUUGUUUUCCCAAUUCAUACACAGAAGCCCAGUUGAUUUCUGAGUGCAGUCUUUCCAUGCCAUGGUACCCAGAGGUUCAGAGAUAACUCUGUUUGCUCGGGUAAUGUUGGCGAAUAGAACACAAUGCAAUUUUAAAACCUUUUUCUGGAAGAAAAAAAAAAAAGGACUUUGUAUACCUCUGGAGAAUGGAAGUAAAUUACAUUCUUCCAUUAUGUAUGUGAAUCUGAUUAUGAAGAUGGUGGAAUUAAUUUAUCUGGUUAUAAAGAACAUGGCAUCUUCUAAAAUGCACAUGAUUAUUUUUAGUUUUGUUGAUUUUAGCUGAACUGUAGAUGUUUCUCAGUGUAUGUUACAACUGCAUAUUGCUUUCUGAGGCAGAGUGAAUGCAGCACUGGAAAGCAAUUAUGGAACUAAUAUAUUUCCCUGAAAUGUACUUUGUGAUGCAGGAUUUUACUCAUGUUUCUAAAAAUUACUUAAACUUCUGCCUAAAUUAUCCUGGUAUCACAAAUAUGCCACUUAUAUCAAUUUAUCCCAAAGAUACCAUCUUGGUAAGGGGAAGUAUUCCAUGACUGGCAAGAAUAACUUGUUUUCCAUAAUAACGAUUUUCCCCAGGUCCAAAAUGUUUGUUUCAGCCAGGAGUGUAAUGUCUGCCUAUUCUGUGCACUGGGGCACCUGCACUGUAAGCCACAAAGAACAGAAAGAACAUGUAUUUUGGGACUAAAACACCCAAGCAACAAAGCAGACAGUCAUCAUACAAAGAAAACUGUUGAAACUCUUUCUGGAUACUGAAUGAAGGUACUAGGUACUGUGUUCUAAUCCCUUACUGCUUCAAAAAAUGUCCUGAGAUUGCUAUGAUUAUUCUGAAGAGUACUAUUUUGCACUUCCUGUUGAAGCUUUGGUCUGUGACAGCUUAGCUGACUGAAUUGCAGCAGACAAGUUACUGGAGACUGAACAGAAGGAAUGUGAGAAGGAACCAUUGAAGAUUUUGUACUAAAAGUAUCAGGUGGUUGUGAAUGACUGCCCUUGGGAAAUUCACUUUAUACUCUGGCCAGAAAUGUUUCUUCUUAACAUUUAGUUUUGCUUUUUGAUUAGUCUGUGUUUGUACAGCCUCCUCUUGGAGGGACAGGCUGGAAAUUUGUACCAGUAUUUGCUUUUGCAUGCUCAAACGCUACUGUGUUUCCUGAAAAAAAAAAUUCUAGAAAACAGCUAUAUCAUGCAGAAAACAGAAGUUCUCAUAAAUUAAGCCUCUAACAAUAUGAAAAGGAAUACAAGAAGGUAAUUUUACAAUUCCUUGGUCUGUUCUAAUUUUGGUUGUGUGGAGAUUCCUAUAAGACAUGAAAAUCUUGCUUGUUUACUUACAUGACAAAAGAGGAGAAAGGCCUUUUUUUUUUUUAGCAGAACAUACUGUUUGAACAAACACCAUAGUGAAACAAGACAGCUAAAGGCAAUGUAAGUCUAUUCUUUUUUAUUGUUUGUAGUCUUUAGAAAUUUUUGUGUCUAAGAAUAAAUUAUUUUUCUUUUCAUUUCACAUUUUCAUUUCUUUUCACAAUUAAUUUUCAUGUUUGUGAAGUGCAUGCCUACAGUUAGUUUUUAUGACAGCAAACUGUUCCUUCUUUCAGUUAAGUUUACAAAAAUUGCACACUCUGUGGAACUACUUUAACUUUUAU